rnacentral:hammerhead_ribozyme from 1 species
GCACUGUUGACGAGUCCCAAACGGGACGAAAGAGCUGUCCAGUAC